rnacentral:rRNA from 1 species
UGGACGCCAGUCUGCAUGGAGCCGACCUUGAAAUACCACCCUUUAAUGUUUGAUGUUCUAACGUUGACCCGUAAUCCGGGUUGCGGACAGUGUCUGGUGGGUAGUUUGACUGGGGCGGUCUCCUCCUAAAGAGUAACGGAGGAGCACGAAGGUUGGCUAAUCCUGGUCGGACAUCAGGAGGUUAGUGCAAUGGCAUAAGCCAGCUUGACUGCGAGCGUGACGGCGCGAGCAGGUGCGAAAGCAGGUCAUAGUGAUCCGGUGGUUCUGAAUGGAAGGGCCAUCGCUCAACGGAUAAAAGGUACUCCGGGGAUAACAGGCUGAUACCGCCCAAGAGUUCAUAUCGACGGCGGUGUUUGGCACCUCGAUGUCGGCUCAUCACAUCCUGGGGCUGAAGUAGGUCCCAAGGGUAUGGCUGUUCGCCAUUUAAAGUGGUACGCGAGCUGGGUUUAGAACGUCGUGAGACAGUUCGGUCCCUAUCUGCCGUGGGCGCUGGAGAACUGAGGGGGGCUGCUCCUAGUACGAGAGGACCGGAGUGGACGCAUCACUGGUGUUCGGGUUGUCAUGCCAAUGGCACUGCCCGGUAGCUAAAUGCGGAAGAGAUAAGUGCUGAAAGCAUCUAAGCACGAAACUUGCCCCGAGAUGAGUUCUCCCUGACCCUUUAAGGGUCCUGAAGGAACGUUGAAGACGACGACGUUGAUAGGCCGGGUGUGUAAGCGCAGCGAUGCGUUGAGCUAACCGGUACUAAUGAACCGUGAGGCUUAACCUUACAACGCCGAAGCUGUU